AGUUUGAUCCUGGCUCAGGAUGAACGCUGACAGAAUGCUUAACACAUGCAAGUCUUUGGCGAAGCUGUGCUUGCACAGCCUAGCCAAGGCGGACGGGUGAGUAACGCGUAAGGGACUUGCCCUGCAGUCAGGGAUAACAGACGGAAACGACUGAUAAGACCUGGUAAAGUCAGGCGGACUCAUGUCCAGCCUGAUGAAAAGGAAUGCUGCAGGAGAGCCUUGCGUCCUAUUAGCUUGUUGGUGGGGUAACGGCCCACCAAGGCGAUGAUAGGUAGCCGGCCUGAGAGGGUGGACGGCCACAAGGGGACUGAGAUACGGCCCUUACUCCUACGGGAGGCAGCAGUGGGGAAUAUUGGACAAUGGGGGCAACCCUGAUCCAGCAAUUCUGUGUGCACGAAGAAGGUUUUCGGAUUGUAAAGUGCUUUCAGCAGGGAAGAAAAAAAUGACGGUACCUGCAGAAGAAGCGACGGCUAAAUACGUGCCAGCAGCCGCGGUAAUACGUAUGUCGCAAGCGUUAUCCGGAAUUAUUGGGCAUAAAGGGCAUCUAGGCGGCCAGAUAAGUCUGGGGUGAAAACUUGCGGCUCAACCGCAAGCCUGCCCUGGAAACUAUGUGGCUAGAGUACUGGAGAGGUGGACGGAACUGCACGAGUAGAGGUGAAAUUCGUAGAUAUGUGCAGGAAUGCCGAUGAUGAAGAUAGUUCACUGGACGGUAACUGACGCUGAAGUGCGAAAGCUAGGGGAGCAAACAGGAUUAGAUACCCUGGUAGUCCUAGCUGUAAACGAUGAUUACUGGGUGUGGGCAUGAAGAGUGUCCGUGCCGAAGCUAAUGCGAUAAGUAAUCCGCCUGGGGAGUACGGCCGCAAGGCUGAAACUCAAAGGAAUUGACGGGGACCCGCACAAGCGGUGGAGCAUGU
rnacentral:rRNA from 1 species